rnacentral:misc_RNA from 1 species
GAUGAAGAACGCAGCGAAAUGCGAUAAGUAAUGUGAAUUGCAGAAUUCAGUGAAUCAUCGAAUCUUUGAACGCACCUUGCGCUCCUUGGUAUUCCGAGGAGCAUGCCUGUUUGAGUGUCAUGAAAUUCUCAACCUUUUCAGCUUUCUUUGUUGAUCAGGCUUGGAUGUGGGAGUAUGCGGGCUUCUCAGAAGUCGGCUCUCCUGAAAUGAAUUAGCGGGACCUUUGUUGCCUGGCUUUGGUGUGAUAAUUAUCUACGCCAUUGUAGUCAAGCAGCUUAAAAUGAGGUUUCAGCUUCUAACCGUCUCCCCUGAGACAACUUUUUGACAAUUUGACCUCAAAUCAGGUAGGACUACCCGCUGAACUUAAGCAUAUCAAUAAGCGGAGGA